UCCCCCUCCCGUCCUGUCCCCAUCAGUGUUGAAAUGUAUGCUACAGUUAUUAUGGUUGUAAUUUGUUAUGCCAUGUUGAUCUUCUUGUGCUUUUCAUAUCAGAACAAUGCAUUUUUAACAUUCUGACUUUCUUUUUCUCUCAAUUGGUAACUGACUAUAUAGAAAAUUUAUAUUUAUGGAUACUAUUUCUUUUUUAAUAAGUUCAAGGGAAAACAUUGAUAAAGGAAAAUUUAUCCUUUCAACUUUCUUUAGGUGCCAGCAUUAUUUUCAUAUUAGGAAGCAGGAGAAAGUUAAGGAACUCUGAGCAAUACUAGAAUGGUUAUAUAUAUUUAAGUUUGUAUUAAACCUGUUGGAAUGGUAAAGAAAUUUACUGACAUAUUUAACCAUACAAAAUAGUGUUGCUAAAAGACUAGUUUUUCUCUUUAUUCUGUGCAUAUGUAUAUAUAUGAAUGUGUGGGUUUUUUUUAAGAAAUUUUAAAAAAACUUAAUCUGCCAGCUUUUCUCUAUUGGAAUUUGCGAACAACUUGUAAAAUUGGAAUUACAGAAUAUUAGAAUAGUCAGUUAUGGAAAGUCACUUCAUUAUCCUUGUGUCACUAAAUAACGUAUAAAGUUAAAUCAGAAGUGUAUUCAUCUCUGAAUUUCUAAUCAGUUGUUUUUAGUUUGCAGAAAAAACUUCAGCAUGUGCCAGGAACACAACCUCACCUUGAUCAGAGUAUUGUUACAAUCACAUUUGAAGUACCAGGAAAUGCAAAGGAAGAACAUCUUAAUAUGUUUAUUCAGAAUCUCCUGUGGGAAAAGAAUGUGAGAAACAAGGACAAUCACUGCAUGGAGGUCAUAAGGCUGAAGGUACAGUUUACUGUUGCAGACUUUCGGACAAAGUCCUUUUCUUGGCUGUUAUAAAAACUAUAUUUGGUUUUAAACAGAAACACUGGUUUUAGUACAAAUCAUCUUUGUCUACUUUCAUUUUUCUUUAUUAUUUUCAUGACUGAAAAGGAGCUUUGGAAAUCACUGCAUAAGGCUUGAUUUAUUUGCACAACUUUCUUUAGGGUUGCAGCUAGAACAAACCUGUGUGCUUUGAAAUGUUACCUUCUGCUCUCUGUUCCCAAGUACAGAGAAAUAAUGUUGCAAAUCUCACUUCUGCUGAACAUUAUGCUUCCUGAUGCAUUUAGCAGACACUAAACAUUUGUCAUACUCUAAACAAAGUUACAAAGGACUAGAAGAAUUCUUGUUCUGUAUUUAGAAACCCACUCACGUUACUUGAUAUUUGGGUAUUUAAGUCAUGAAAGGUAUUUCUUCUAGGAAGCAGUGAUUCUAAAGUGUAUGCUUAACCAGUCAGUUGAGUGUCUACUCUUGUGUGUUCACAAGUGUGCACAAAGUUUUUGGUAAAUUAAGAAUAUUAUUUCAAAUAAAUUAAUUUCAUCCCCAUAGGAGCCAGUUUAUCAGAUAAUUCAUUUUUCAUUUCUGCAAAUCAAUACACAAUGAGCUCAUAUUCAGAUAAAUAUAAUAGUUUUUCUUUAUUUCAUCAUUGUUCAUUGAUUGCAACCCAUUUCUAAAACAAAUUAUUUAAUAUAAUCAAACUCCUUUAACUUCUCAACUUUUCCCACUAAAACUGUGAAACAUUAUAUAAAAUCUUUAAUCAAUAGGAUAUGAUACAUAUUUCAUCAUUUUGUUUCAGGUUUUGGUUGUGAUAAAUAACACUGAAAAACCAUCCUAAUAUAUGUAUUAACUUUAUCAUUAGAAAAGGGGAUUGUUCAAAAAAAAAUCAAUACACAGAAACCUUUUUUGAAAAUUAAAAACAUUAAGAAACUUCUUGUAAUUCACAAAUAAUUGGAAUUAAGUAAUUUUCUCAGCUUAAGAGUUUGUAUUUUUUAAGUGAAUAUCAGUAAUUAAUCCAUUAACAUUGAUGCUCUAUUUCUGCUUUUAAGUUUGAACUGAGGCUGAUUAAUGUUCAGUCAAUUCUCCUUUGAGCAGGGAUUGGUGUCAAUCAAAGACAAAUCACAACAAGUGAUUGUCCAGGGUGUCCAUGAGCUCUAUGAUCUGGAGGAGACUCCAGUGAGCUGGAAGGAUGACACUGAGAGAACAAAUCGAUUGGUCCUCCUUGGUAAGUCUGAAAGGAUUCACAGUUUUAAAACAAAGUGAAAAAUAUAUUUGAAAGGGAUAUCAUGUGCCACUCAAACAGAUUAACCAUUCAGGUCCUCUUUUAAAACUAAAUAAGCUUGUGGUCAAUGUUUCAUCUUUAUCACGUUACAACGUUCGUAAAAGCUUGUUAGGACUUUUGUUCUUCUUCAGUUUUAGAAAAGUGGUUAAUCCAAGGACCAAUGUGACUUUGAUGUACUGACCUGGAAAGUUAAAGAUGGAAUCACUCAAUUACUAUUCUUUUUGUAAAUUUCUAAACACCAUAAAGCAUUUAAUGAACUGGAAUUGAUAGGUGAACUGUGUCAUUUUAAUAAGCAUAAUGUAAUCACGUCAUAUUUUGUUUUGUUUGCAGGCAGAAAUUUAGAUAAGGAUAUCCUUAAACAGCUGUUUAUAGCUACUGUGACAGAAACAGAAAAGCAGUGGACAACACAUUUCAAAGAAGAUCAAGUUUGUACAUAACACUAGAGGCAUUUCUUAUCAAAAGGAUUGGAUAAUAAAAAUAAGUUUCUACUGGGUAUAUUUCAAGCAUUUAUUUAUUACUUUAGUUACGAAUUCCAAUAUACUUUAAAAUGGUAUUUGUUUUACAGCAUACAUAAAAUGUAGCAAAUCGGUACUGUAAAACAUUUAACAUUCAUACAGUUAUAUAUAAUAUCCUUUUUUUUAAAGAAUGGUAUUUCACAAAAAUGUCUUUUGAAAUUGGCUUUGGAGUUUACAUAUACUGAACAUGAAAGUUUAUAAUAAUGAUGAUACAACUUUCAACAUUGUCAUUUUUUCUUAGAACUUCAGCUGAUUGCAGAGAUAUAAUGAUUACAUUGUUAUUAAAUUUUUUUAACACAA
rnacentral:lncRNA from 1 species